CCGGCUGGCUGUAUGCACCGUAUCUGAUCCUUCCUCUUUGUCCAUGUGUUGAAACCAAACACGGUUCGAUCUGAGCGGAUGAUCAACUUCUCCCUAUGCCAGGUAAAGUCUUGCACUCCUGAUGAAGUUUCAACCUUACCACCAAGAUGCAAAUUUUCUGCUCCUUUUUUCACCUAAUUAGAACGAACUGCAUAUGCGUUAUGAAGGUGUGCUUAAUUAUAUGAUGAAGUCUUGCGAGAGUCGGGAAUUAUUUUUCGGUUCAGUUCUUUUUAUUCCUGUUCUUCUGACGUUGGAUUGGUUCUGAAUGUUUUUUCAUACUGAAAGGAAGUUUCGUUAUGUGGCUAUAAAUUAAUUUGGGAAUGAAACGGGAAGUAUGAAAUCAUCUUCUUCCUAACAUCCCAGGCUCUCUAGUGAGAAUUCCUGAUGUCUGACUGCCCGUUCUUUCCGUAUUUGUAGACCGAUUCAGGAUUUACAUGUCGAUCAUCGUUUCUGGAGUGAUGGAUCUUCUGCAAAUUGAUCUGUGAAAGCCUUGAAGAAACAAAGAAACAAAACAUUCUAAUCCCCCGACUUAGUUAGGCAACAAUAACAUAGCAAGAACUUGAAAUAAAACACAUUCAUUUGGGAGCCCAUAUCACACGAAUUACAUUUCAAUUGACAUAGGAAAUGAAAAGGAAAAGGAAAAAAAGUUGUUACAAUGUGUGAAGAUUAUCAAAUUCACAAUAUUGACGCCCUUCCCUCCCCACAUGACUACCGCAAAAAUUAUCUGACACGAGGCAUUGCCAUGUUUAAUUGGACGCAAACAGAAGCACCGACACCAGUUACUUUGCGGCGAUAGGUCGACAGAACGAACUAGACAGGAAGGGAGGAAAGAAAUGAAGAUGGAGCUUGUUGCGCCAGCCCUCAAAGGGGAGGAUGGGAACUGACCAUGCGGCGGAGGAAGGGGAGAGAGAGGGAUAUAAAUUAAAGUGAUUAGAAGAGUAAUUACGCAAUCAGUAUAGACUUGCAGAGGCCCAUUUUUUAAGAAAAAACAGCGAGGACUAGCCCUUGGUUGCCAACUGAGCGACUCUCGGCGAUCAACUUAAUUCCUAAGGGUUUGGAUUAUAUGUUGAUGGAUGGCCGAGGUCGUGUGGUUCUGACAAACUUGUUAUUUUUAGAAAACAACCUGUUAAAAUACUACCAUAUCUAAAAAUUGCUUCCUUUUUUUGCCCACUAGCUCUAAAAUAUUAUGUCUUUCAUCCCAUUUAUCAAAAUCUCCCUGUCCCUAUGGCUUGGCCACUUGUCAAACCCAUACGUCAACUAAUUGAAGCCACAUCACAAAAUCUAAAUAAUAACAAGACUUCACUCUCUUUAAGCAAUAAUCUAGCGACGCAUUUGGCAUCCCUCCACGAGUCGGGCUUCAGCUUCUGGGAAUACGCCACUACCUCCUCCUGCCCUUGACGACAUUAUCUUUUUAAAAUCGCCAUCAAGGCACUUAAUUAAUUCAUAGGCAGGUUAACAUCUAAUUACAUGGGAUUACACCAUCAAUACUUGAAUCAAUAUCCAGCAUAAGUGUUGUCUUGGUGCACACACGUGCAUACAAUUGACAUUCCUAGCAAAACAAAAAGUAAAACCCCGGAAGUUUGAGAGAUAUCCCCUCAUCUUUUUGAAAAUCUGACCGCAUGCAGAGCGAUCCUCACCUUUCAUCCACAUAGAGUACAAGACUUGACAAUCCGUCUAGAGCACAAUGUACUGAAAGUCUUUCUCCAUAGCCAUAAUCACUCCUUCAUGGCAUGCCAGUGUCCCAAUGAUGAGCGGUUCAGAGAUUGCAUUAUAUUUAACAUACAUCGCCUGGAUAAGACCCAUCAUGUUCUCGAGCAAUCACCCCAGCUCCUGCUAUACCUCGACUUGAUUUUUGAAAUUGCUAUUAAAUUUUAUUUACUAAAAUAUUGUAAGCCACCUUCAAUUAAAUUUUGUUACAAAUAAUUCUAAGGAAUUUAUAAGGGUAAAUUACAAUUUAGAUUGUAAUUCUACUAUAUACUGUACUCUCGCCGUUUUAGUUUACUAGGUCCAUCUAAAAAAUCACUGUACCCAAAAAAGACCUAAUCAAGUGCUGGACCACGUAUUAAUGCAGUAUGCUUCGUCAUGGCUCUUUUCCUGCAUUUGUUGGUUCUAAAUUAAGAACCAAAAUUUGACAAAUACCAAUGUGGCUCUAAUUAAUGAUUGCGUAAACCCAAGGCACGGGGGCUUACAAACUAAAAACUCAGAUAUUUUGAGAUGGGUCUAACAAACUGGACGGGAGGGACUAUUAGGCAGUAACAUUAUGCUUGGAGUUGAAGUUUCAUGUCUUUUGAGAUUAAUAAUAAGAAUCCAUACAUUUAUUGUUCCAACACUUGAAUGUGGUAAACACAUGAAAUAUGUCAAAGUAGAGGGUAAAGAGGAAGAAAAAGCAAAUCAGAGUAUCUUGGACACUUCGGCACAAAUUAGUAGAAAUAGUAGAAUUUAUUCUGAAAAGGGAGAAUCAUGUUAACACCACGGAGCUCUGUGGGUGAAUUCAUUUGUAUCUGUAUAUAGGAGAUUCAGCCAGCAAAAGUUACACAUGGUCCACAAUCUCUUGUGAUUAACGAGUUGCGUAUGUCCUACAUAGUGCACCCAAUCUUCGGGAUAUUUUAGAACUUAGCCCGGGCACACAUGCCUCACAUUUUAACUCAUUCUAUGCUUCUCAUCAUUUCGUUGUUUGGUCACUCUUGCAGGUUCUAGGCCAGCUACCAAGCAUCAUCUGCUCGGGAUAUUUUGUUUACUCUGACAUCCCGUAACUCUGUUGAAUUACUCUCCUAUAUAUCGUCAUGUAUAGAUGGUGCGUUCCUUUUACAGCGAGCUGUACGUGUUGCACAACACAUCUUAUCUAUUCUACAGUUGCAGAGUUGCCUAGGAUUAUGUUCUCAGCAUUUCGUUCUUUGGUCACUUGUGCAGGUUCUGGGUCAGCCACCAAGAUUCCUCUGUUCUGCAUAUUUUGUUUCGUCUGACAUCCAACAAGUCUGGAAGCGAUCUCUUUAUAGCGUCACAUAUAACUGGCACGCUUCUUUUGAAGUCUCGUGCAUUUACUUGGAGCUCAUUGACACCGGUUAGUCUGAAGUGCAUCGGCUAUAAACAUGGGUAUUUUCGAUUAUUUUAAAUUUAUUUCAUCAGGACAUACAUUUCCAUGAAAAGAAAAUCAUCCCAUCUGCAUCAACAUUGAUGUUGUAGUGAGACCGAGAGAAGCCGAAGAAAACUUGCCAAGUCCUUUUUCCCAUUCUCCCGCGCAACCCAUCCCUAUGGCGGCUCCAGGACUGAAAUCCUAGUUCACCCCCCUCCUCUUGCGCUUGAGUCUUGUUUUGUCCCCAUUGGCUAGAGGUUGGACAGGGCGAGGCAUGUCACAUGUGGUGAUGGUGGCGUGCGACAAUGGUGACGCCGACGAGGCGCACCAUGGGAACAGUGGAGACAGGCGAUGCCGGAGACGCGUGGGUGGCGGUUGGCGCUAUGUGGUGGUGACGACAAUGGUGUAGGUGCCAAAGUGCGCAUGGUGGGCGGUGGGGUGCCAGGGGCACGGUGGCGGUAGGCGGUGCCAGAGUCACAUGGGUAGCAUGCGAUGGUGAUAGCGGCACAUGGCGGUGGUGGUGAGAUGCAUAGGGUGGACGGUGGGGCGCACCAAGGCAUGAUGGUGGUGGGUGGUGGCGAUUGGCGCUAUGUGGUGGUGACGACAAUGGNNNNNNNNNNNNNNNNNNNNNNNNNNNNNNNNNNNNNNNNNNNNNNNNNNNNNNNNNNNNNNNNNNNNNNNNNNNNNNNNNNNNNNNNNNNNNNNNNNNNNNNNNNNNNNNNNNNNNNNNNNNNNNNNNNNNNNNNNNAUGGUAUAGGUGCCAAAGUGCACAUGGUGGGCGGUGGGGUGCCAGGGGCACGGUGGCGGUAGGCGGUGCCAAAGUCACGUGGGUGGCAUGUGAUGGUGAUAGUGGCACAUGGCGGUGGCGGUGAGAUGCAUAGGGUGGACGGUGGGGCGCACCAGGGCACGAUGGUGGUGGGUGGUGGUGAUUGGCCAGUCACACGGGUGGCGUCGGUGGACCAGAUGCACGGUGGUGUUAAGGGGUGUGCUCGCGGCGGACGUGUCGGUCUACUUGUUAAGCUCCGACGACGAUAAAAAGCGCGAGGAUCGCGGCGACAAUGGAAGAUUCAGAGGAAGAGGAUGCGUCAGCGAAGGAAGAUGCAGAGGAGGCCGCUGGUGGUGGCGAGUGGUGUGCCCGCGGUGGAUGUUGUGUCGGUCGAUUUGUCGAGCUCCGACAACGACAAAUAGCACGAGGAUCAUGGCGGCAAUGGGAGAUUCGGAGGAAGAGGAUGUGUCGGGGAAGGAAGAUGAGGAGGAGGCCGAUGGUACCGACGAGGUAUGCAUCCCCUCGUGGGAGGAGGCGGAAAGGGAGUAUGAGUGGGCGCUACCCAAGGAGGAGCACCGGGGUGGGAUGGCUCAUCGCGCACGUCGUGUUGGAAAGGUCCAUCGGCGACGAGCGUGAGAUAGUCGAGAAUCACCAUGACAGCGAGAACAAGAGCUGCUCUUUUAGCGCCGAUGACUUGAAGGUACCAUGGUGGAGCAUCCAUGAUGCCGAUGAGUCGCUCGGGGAAGGCGUAUUUGAUCUACCUCUCUUCCGAUAAGGACAAACACGUUUAUCCCGUUUUUAGCUCUAAAUCUACUUCCUCCGUCACGGUUUAGAAGGCGCGCUUGAAAAUUCUCUGGGACCUAGGUGGUUAUCUAUUGGUUGUGGGAUGGGCUAAAAAAUAUCAUUCACAUUACGCAUGCAUAUAGAAAUAGUAUAUUGGAGUACUAAUUAGCUACUAGAAGUAAAUGCAAUGCGCCCUAAACCUUGUCUAUUGUGAAAACGCACGCAAAUUUAACUGUGCCUUCUAAACUGUGACAGAGGAAUUAGGUUGUAGUUAGUUUAAGUACUUGGAUAUUUAAUGUGCACCCUAAAAUCUAGCGUAGCGGCAUAGGUAGAAAUCUAGUUUGGUGCUCGAGAGACCUCAAAUCUGACCACACAACUACUCCCUCUGUUCCGAAUUACUUGUCGCAGGUAUAGAUGUAUCUAGAUAUAUUUUAGUUCUAGAUACAUCCAUUUCUGCGACGAGUAAUAUGAAAUUACUUGUCGCAGGUAUGGAUGUAUCUAGAUAUAUUUUAAUUCUAGAUACAUCCAUUUCUGCUACGAGUAAUAUGGAACAGAGGGAGUAUGAAGUAGCUGUAGUAAUGGACUUUUGUUUGCUGUGACAGAAGUUGCAGAAAGUAAAAAACCAUGCAAGUGAUAAGCUCUUAAGAUGUCGGCAACACCUAAUGUUUGCAUUGCACUCAUCAUUCAAUGUCUGUUAACACCCAAGUAGUAAAAUAAAUUUGAUCAGCUAGCAGUAGCACACUUCGUCUACCACACACACAGUGAGUCUCACAAACACAGUGGCUCAUUAAUGAGUACAAGUGGGACACCACAAAUGUUGAAGGCACUAGUCGCAAUCUCCAAGAAAGCACUAUUCGCAUUGCUCUUGCCCACGCAAACAGAUAGUACUACCACUCCAGUCUUGCCGCAGAACCCACUCAAACUUCCCUGACAUCAACCUCGGGAUCCGAGCAAGAACCACCAUGUUUCAUCAUUGUCAUGAGUGCAUCAAUGACAUAGUCUGAGUCAUAGUUGAUCAAGUGAAGCAAUUGAUCAGUACCAGUUCCCGCGAGCCUUGUCAUGGAGGCUGGGUAGUUGGGAACCAGGUUGCCAUCCUCAUCUUGCUCAUAAACAAUGUAGUUUUUGAUGCGAUUAUGUCCUUCCUUUGCUGACAAGGCAUUGACUGAACCAUUCAUCUGAUGCACUGCUUUAAUCAGUUUGUCAUUCCAUCCGUGCACCUCAUAGUACUUGUACAGCAGGGCAACAUAUAAAGCAAGGAAUGAUCUGCCCAUGCUAGACCAAUCAUGUAAGUGAUCGUUCAACUCUUCAUGAAGCGGGACUGCAUCCCCAUUCUUGAAGUUCUGCUCCGCAAACUGCAAGAACACCCCUGAACGUUGACACUCCCCAAAUAAUAUCAUAAAUGUCUGCAGCACUCUAACUCUAUCAUAUAUCCAAUCUCCAAUACUAGUGCUGUUCUCUGGAGUGAAUAUUUUCAAGUGACAAUUGGUGGGGGUGAAAGCAAGGAGGCAUUCCAGUAAGUUCAGAGUUAUCCCUUUACCAAGAGUUAUCCCCACUUGCUUCGUGUAUCCACUGUCCCAACUUAGCUUAUUCCCUUCCAGAUCAAAGGGAAGGUUUACAUCCUUAAAGUAAAACCAUCCACCCGGAUUUUCCUUGGUUGGAACAACAUAGAAUGCGAUCAGAUAACCGUCACUUUGGCGAAAUAGAAGCCACAGCACAACCUUACUGUCCAGCUCAAUCUCCACCAUGUUGUAUGUUUCCUGCAAUUCACAUUUGCACAUCAUUUCAACUCCUAGCCACAUGUAGGAAAAAGGAUAAGAAAAAGAAGAAAAGAAUCAGCGAAUAUUACAUUUUCAGAAGGCUGCGUGACUGGAACUCCUUGAAUGCUCAUUGAUCUCACUUUCUUAAAGAGCUUGCGUCUAGCAUCCAGAACUUCCUUCAAACCAUCAUAGUUACUCUGAAUGGCGCCACGCUCGUCAAUGCUUUGAAUAUUGCCAUCCUGGUCAGUCUUCAGUCUCCAUAUUACGCUCUUAACAUCCUGCAGCAAAGAGGAAGCAACAAGCAUUAGUUUCUAAAAAUCAUUUGCUAUGCUUUAUCAACUUGCGGACAGAACUCAAGGUCAUAAAUAUAUUGCAGUCUAGCAUUUGCCUCUAUAUAUAUCCAAAAUUCUGAACCUACAGUUAAUAUGACAACUCUGAUACUGCUUGUCAAGUCACAAGAUAAUGAAUUAAAGUGUUGCACUGUUAUCUGCUGGUAGGUAUAACACAUAUGCCCAAACAUAUCGCUUCUACUCCUGCUUUUGCACUUAAGGUGAACAGAUUGCACAUAUGAUUCAUAAACCAAAGCAUACUGCUUCUACUCUACUUAUGCACCGAAAAGUUACAGAUUGCACAAAGAACUCUUUCAUGAAGAAUAUUACAGCUUGCAUUUCAUGACAAUGAAAAGGGGCAAAUGAUAUUUUGCAUGUUUGUUCUCACAUUAAGUUAUGCAAAAAUUAAAAUAUACGAAUGUGUUGUUCAUAGUGGUUAAGUUCAACGAAUAUGUAGUAUUCCUGUUAAUUCUUAGUUAACUUACAGACCUGUGAGAGGCUGUGUAUAUUAGUUUAAAUAUAUAAUUCUAAUGAUGUCAGAAAGCUGUGAGGCAGUGGUCAUCUAACGAGCAGCUGUAAAUUAACUUUCUCUUUUGAAAGCCACAACCACAAUUAGUUAGCAGCAUGUCAAAUUGAAAAAAAAAAACAAGUGAGAGAGAAGAAUGCUUGUGGUCGUCCAACACACGGAUUAAGUGAUAUUUGGCAAGACAGAUUUCUUUAGGAAUUAGUUCAAAUUCGAACAAACAUAACUGAGCAUUAGAACCCAAAUUUCACCCAUUCAAACAAGCCCUGAGUGCAGUACCUGUAUGCUGAAAGAUUCUAUUCACUGCUGGCAUAGUCUGAAUAAUUAAGCAAUGAAAUUGCAAAACACCAUACAAUUUCAAUAGCAACAAGUGAAUGAUCUAGUGGAAGGAUGUGUUUGGUUUGAGCCCCAACUAGCCCACCAAAAUUUUGGCAUGACCAAGACAAGGGCAUGACUGAAAAUUCGGCAACUCCUUGUUGUUUGGAUUAUAGCAACUAGUUGAUACCCCGCGCGUUGCAGCGGGAUAUUUUGUUAGAAAUCUUUUGAAUGUGUAUCAAAGAAAAAAGGCAAUGAUUGAACAAAGUGGCAUGAUAUCAGGCGAGGUGUUUCGUGAAAACAUUUUAAACUCUCAUGUUCCAUGAAAUUGUGAGAAUUAAAUGGCAUAACUCAAAUUUGAUACAGAGCAGGUGGAGAAUUUGCAAUAUACUGUUACCACAGUAUGGUUCUGAUAUUAUCUUGGAAAAUUAUGCCAAGUGAAAAAAGUUAAAUUGAUUUGAAAAUCAUACACUAAAAAUUAAUGUACACACAUACGGAAGUACAGAGUUGAAAGCACAAUCCAUACAAUGCAAAGAAGUAACUUAAGGGUUGCAUAGUUGAAUCGAAAGUGCUGUACACACGAUGUUGAUGGACAAUUUGUGCACGACUUGCUUAAAAGCCACACAGAUUAAAGAAAUGAGGCAAUCCAAUGGUCUAGAUGACAUGUCGUGUCGGAAUCGUGCAAAAAUCUGUCAUGUGCAUAGCACUACUCUUGUUGAAUAGAAUCUGGAGUCUGUAGCAUUUGUUUCAUUGCGAUUUACGCAAAUAUUAGUUGUAGCAGAAAGUAGCAUUAUAUGAUAUCCGCCCAGAGUACAAAAGAAACAUGCUUAGUUGAAGCAUUGGUCUGAAUAUUUCUGCAAUUUCAUCUCAGAUUAGUUUUUUUGAAAAACAACUUGACUGGAGAUCAGAUAAACAAUCAUUAAUAGUAGUACUCCCUUCUCUGAAACAAAUUUAACUGCAUGCUAGUAUAUAACGGCCUAUGUAUCCAUCUCUUGUGGGAAAAGAAUUCUGUUAUACCAAAUCCAAAAAUUGCUAAACACUGUCCCACCACGAACAAAGCAGGAAUGCACUUACCUGUCCAUAGUACAACCUAAAACAUAGUUCCAAAAAAUAUAGAGGGAGUUCAGGGUAGCAACAAAUUAAAGGCAGAGUGGAGAAACUGAAUCCUCAUGGGAACCAAAUGACAUCUACUGUUGUUGGCAACAUAGGCAUCCAUGAUCCAUGGUGAUGGAGUCUCCAGCCAAGCUUCUUCAUAACAAUCAUGGCGAAGGCUGGAUGGAAAGUAAAGUCAAUCAAAUCUGCGGCCUCCUCUUACGGCAAUAGUUAGCCAAAACACGCAGCGGUGAAAACUGUCAUAUGGCGAGGAGUGGCCGCGCAACUGGAUGAAGGGGUAGCCUGAUUGAACCGAAAGAAGACAGAGGAUUUAUGAGGAUCGAUGAAGCCCAAGGGAGAGGAACUGAGGGGUCUCGUUGGGAGAGCAAUUGCCCAGCGCGUCCUUUUCUGUUGCAAGAUUUGAUGGAAGAAGAUGAAAAGAGAGGGGACUCAGCAGGCGCAUGCAUCCGGAGGGCUCGUGGCGGCGGCUGGCUGUGCGCCUGCGCCAAAGAAGUAGGCAAUCGGGGAGAUUUGUUUUUUUCUUUCACAGGAUAUCCUUUGUUUCCCCAUGGGCUUCGAAUAUCUAAGACGGACGUACAAUCCAUUUAACACUUGGCCCAGCCCAACUCCCUCGUUUGCUUCUCAUUUAGCCCAGUUUGAGGGUCGUCUUCAACCUUCUGCACAUGCACGAACAAACAUAGACGCACAACUACUAUGAAUACCUAUCAUAUUGGACAAUUUAGGCCACGGAUUGCGUUAACUUCAAACAUAAAAUUUGUUAUCCUAUUAGUCACGAACCCAUUCCACCAGAAUGCAGAGGAUAUUGUACAGUAACAAAGGAGAUCGAGAAAAGGAGCUUGGCCAUAGGGAAUGACCGGUCGCACUAUCAAGGAACCACCAGAGGGCCACAGUAUCGAGGGAACCAUGCAAGAGAGCGGAGGAGUCUAUCUGGGGACACCAUAGUCGGUGCGCUACCACGGCGAGCUAGAUAGUCAUAGAUAAGCCACGGGGAUGACCCGUCACAAUUGAUGAAUGUUUGCGCUUUUGUAUAUCCAGUUCGUUUGGAGGAGAAAGAAUGAAGGAGAAGGAACGAAACGUUAUUUCACUUAGCGGUGGCAGCUCUCAGUAAUUUGGGCCAACUCUUGAUCAGACGACUGUAGACGACCGAUCUAUGAUGCAUCAAUGGCUAGAACAAUUCGGGUGACGUGGCUUCAUGAGAAGGCAGGAAAAUCAUCUAGUGGGGUGCCCCUAUUUAGAUAUAGAAGAUUGCACCUACUAUUUUUUUGGCAACAUGUAUUAGUUUUUGCUUAGUUUGAUUCCUAUUCAGCUAUCAUGUUGCGUUAACAAAUGCAGAAACAAAUGUUAAACAAAACUUAGUUAACUACAGUGUGGCAAAAGAAACUGAAUGAACCUGUAAAAAGUGUGGAUCUUUAACACCGAUGUCACCAUGCACCUAGUUCUACCUAUCUCUGAAGACAUAGUCGAUUAUAGGAAAAGUCACAGCUGAUUAUACGGAAACUGAGACAACUAAAUUGACGUGGCUAAACAGGACUAGUUACACUUACAUGGCUUCAUACAUGGAAACUGAACACGCGCUUAAUGAUCUAUUCAAACUAUUGCUGGAUGAGAUGUCACCGCUUAUUGCUUCCGUCAACCGUCAACGUGAACUCAUGUAGUUAAUCUACCUCACUAAUUGCUUCAGUGUUUCAGUACAGAAUGAGGCCCCACAUAUGUGAAGCGGGCAAGCUGGUCUGCCAAAUAUUUGGCGAGUGCUUUAGCGCAAACGGUAUGCCCAGGCAUUGGCGAAAAUUACAUGGGAGCAUGAGGACUUGCUUUGGCGAACCAAAUUUUUGGCAUCUAUAUGCAAGCAAAAGUCAAAUCUCACGGACAAGUCACAAAAUUGGUAUGGCUAGUAUUGGUAGUAACCAGACACCUGAAGUCUCACCAAAGAUAAAAUUUACUUUCAAAGUCAAUUAUAUUAGCGUUGCAACAACUAGCAAUCCCUUGCAAGUUCAUAAAUUCAGUUACUUUCUUGACUGUCCCUAAAUACCAGACCGGUCAAAUUCGUCAAAACCUGCUUUUUAAGCUAGACGCAGCACAAGCAAGUAGGUAUUCGCCCAGAUCUACUUUUCAAGUAAAUAUCCUAGCCGGAUGUAGAAAAUAUCCUAUCAUUUCACCAGAUCUAGAGAUACGGAAGAAUAUUUGGAAGCCGAAGAUGGCAGGGGGGAUGGAUUGGUAGAUGCAUACCGAAAUGCUGGUCUGCUUGCAAGCAAUCGACCGCCUCGAGGCCUCCUGAAAAGCCAAAUCCUUUUUCUUCUGCACCGCAUCCCCCGCCCCACUAUUCUGGCUGCUAUCAGAUGGUCGACUGCUGCUACUGAUAGUUGCCUUCGUCCCUCCGCGGCUGCUGGAUUCGUUGACCGACGCUCCUCUUUUCUUCCCCCCCCCCACCUCCCCCCGGCUAUGUGUAGCGCCGCGCCGCGCCUCCCACCGCCCCUUCCUCUUGUGCAAGCGACGAAUCUGUGGAGAGAGUAUAAGCGGAGGAGCACUUGCGGUGACUGUAAAGUCGACACUUUUCUACUGCCUGCCCGACUAAUGCUUCUCAAGAGAGGAUGGUUUAGGAUAUCUCCAAGGCCGGCCCUCAAAAGGUCCGCAUACAUUUGGACCCCCUUGUCCAAAUGCGUUGUGCCAUUCAAUAUGGCCCUGUAUCGGUCAAUCGAAUGAUUCAGACGUGUUUUCUUUCAUAAACCGAAAACAAACAUGGGGCUUUGGGGGCAUCCGACCACUCCCAAGUCCACGUCUGACCGCUUUGGCCCACCCAAAUCGUCCCCCUCGCCCGCGAUUGCUUCCCACCUGUAACGGUUAGCGCCGCUCCAGAGCGUUAGUGCCGCAUUCAUGCUCGGCUAGAGUGUAUGUAACCUCUCAUUGUCGUCGGCAUUGAAGCGGCAUGUAGGUCGAGAGACAGUCGCCCGCGCUGCUUCCCGGUGCAGGCGACUGCUCCAUGUUCAGACGACACAACGACUGGUCGUCCAUUCGUCUGUCGCCCACAGUAAUGACACAGUUGCCGAUGCGUCUAGUCCGGCGCACCCGUCCGUCCCUGUCGCCCACCAUUACUAUAUAAACUGCUUCUCCGGCCAUAGCCAUAGUCACCCGCCUAUCCGUCUGCCGCCCACAGUAAUGACACAGUUGCCGAGGCAUCUAGUCCGGCGCCACCCGUCCGUCCCUGUCGCCCACCAUUACUAUAUAAACUGCUUCCCCGGCCAUAGCCAUAGUCAUCCGCCUCCAAUCCCUUUCUCCUCUCCGCACCACUUCGACCAUGACUUUCUCGCGCUCCAAAGCACUCUGGGAUGGGCUGAUGACGGACCAGAAGAAGAUGACCGCCAUUACUAUCGACUGGCUGGCGGGCUGACAGCCGGAGGAUGACGACGUCCCAAUGGAGGACGACGAGCCGGCGCCACUCUCCUCGUCCGCACCACCCUCACCGGUGCAUUGCACCAUGACCAUCGGCGAGGCCUGUGCCCAUUACAUUGACAUGGUGAGGGAGGAGCGGGAGGACUAGUUCCGGGAGGCGCAGGUCGACGCCACCUACAACCUCCAGCUCCUCCAAGAGCACCAGCAGGUGGAGCAGCAGCUCAACGUCGGCAGGGUGAUCGCACCGGAUGUGAACGUGGCAGAGCAGGCGGUGCUGCUCGAGUCCUACAGCUCCGUUCGCCAGAUCCACCUCGACCGAUGGCGGGACCUCCAUCGUCAGGCGAAACUGGAGGCCGCCUACAAGGGGUUCGACGAGGCACCGGACGAGGUGUGGGGCAAGACCGGCGAGGUGGAGGACAUCGCCGGCUCUGCCCCGCCGCCACGAUCACGAAGCCGACACGUCCGUGGGCGCCACUGGCAGCGAGGAAAAGUAGUGCACGGCAUGUCGCCACCGCUCGGGUCCCAAAAAGGCCACCGCUCUCCCCUCUCAUUGAAGCCAAGCUUGGUGGGUUCAACAUCGCCGGUUGGUGAGCCGCUUGGCGGCGAUGUGGAGGCGGAUAACUUCACUUCUCGGGGCUUCGAAGGCGGAGCUGAAGAGCGCCGAUGCGGAACUAAAGAAGGCGAAGCUUCAGUUCUUGGGGCUCAUGGUCGGACAGGGGAAACAGACGCCGACGAUAAUAGAUUAGGUUAAUUAAUUAUACCUUCGGAGCCGAACGAGCAAUACUUUUAGUUGAAGUAUGUCCGAAAUGUAAUGAAAUCCGGCAUGUAUGAAAUCCAACAUGUUUAUAUGAAAUUCGGCCGUGUUUGAAUGAAUUUCGUCCGGUUAGUUUGAAUUAUUAUCCAAAUGUAUGCAGACAGUGUUGGAUGACGGCGUCUCGCAUCCGUGUCUGUGGGCUGGUCCCCCUGUCCAGGGAAGGAAAUUUACGGAUCGCCGUUGGAGAUUCCCUUAGAGGAAUAAUGAUUUUAGCCCGGUUUUCCAUGCUUAAUCGAGCAUUGGUUUUCAGAUGUGUUUACCUGCAUCAAUUUAGCCGAUCCGCAUUUAUAGCUGAGUUACUACAUGCUAUAAAUCAUGUUCUGCAUAUAGGUGGUUGUCUGCAUUGCAUCAUGAAGUUAUCUUCACUCGGGCUCUCCCUCUAGUGACCAGCCGCCGUUAUCGGAUCUUGUCGAAGGAGGUUGUCCCCUAGUUGCCACGCUGGAGCUCGCCGCUCGUCACAACGGAAG
rnacentral:lncRNA from 1 species